rnacentral:sRNA from 1 species
GUGCUGUACGUCCAAGAUGGCGGCGCCCUGUAGGCUGGAGGGACUGUGAGGUAAACAGCUGAGGGGGAGGAGACGGUAGUGACCAUGAAAGACACCAGGUUGACAGCACUGGAAACUGAAGUACCAGUUGUCCCUAGAACAGGCUCUGGGGCUGCCUGCAUUUGGAGGACCAGAUCUGACAUUAUCGUCUUCUGACUACACAGAAGGCAAACUCAGAGUCUCCCUAGACAGAUAGUAGUUUGUUAGUGGCCCCAAUGAAGAACCUUCAGAACCUGUAGCACACGUCCUUGAGCCGGCACAGCGCCUUCGAGUGAGAGAAUGGCCCAACAAGCGAAUGUCGGGGAGCUUCUUGCCAUGCUGGACUCCCCCAUGCUGGGUGUGCGGGACGACGUGACAGCUGUCUUUAAAGAGAACCUCAAUUCUGACCGUGGUCCUAUGCUUGUAAACACCUUGGUGGAUUAUUACCUGGAAACCAACUCUCAGCCAGCAUUGCACAUCCUGACCACCUUGCAAGAGCCACAUGACAAGCACCUCUUGGACAGGAUUAACGAAUAUGUGGGCAAAGCUGCCACUCGUUUAUCCAUCCUCUCGUUACUGGGUCAUGUCAUAAGACUGCAGCCAUCUUGGAAGCAUAAACUCUCUCAAGCACCUCUUUUGCCUUCUUUACUAAAAUGUCUCAAG